CUUUACUGCAACUUGACGUUGGAACUUGGCUGUAUUUGUGUAGGAUAGGUGGGAGACUUUGAAGCAGGGCCGCCAGGUCUUGCGGAGUCGUCGUUGAAAUACCACCCUGGUGCUGACGAGUUUCUAACCUUGUCCGUAAGCCGGACAUGAGACAGCGUCUGGUGGGCAGUUUGACUGGGGCGGUCGCCUCCUAAAAGGUAACGGAGGCAUUCAAAGGUCCCCUCAGCGUGGUCGGUAAUCACGCGCAGAGCGCAAACGCAUAAGGGGGCUUAACUGCGAGACCGACAGGUCGAGCAGGUACGAAAGUAGGAGUUAGUGAUCCCGCGGUUUAGCGUGGAAUUGCUGUUGCUCAAUGGAUAAAAGGUA
rnacentral:rRNA from 1 species